CUAGCAAGAUCACGUCCUGCCUCAGCAGCCCUGGCUCACACACUUGCUCCUCUCUCAGAGACCUCCCCAUGCGGGGUGUGACAAACACAAGAAGGAACAUGACUGUUGUCCUCACAGCAUUCCUCCUUCUCCUUCCUGGGACUCUUGCUCAAGGGAAGGACAAGUCCCAGCAUAGACAGGCUAUCCUGAGCACUGAGGGUCACAACUGAGGUUCCAGAAAGUGCUCGUGGUAUGUGUGUCUCCUCGAAAAGGUCCGAAGCCCAUUCAGCUCCUUCUGGCUCUGUGCAGAACCAGAGUCCCAUCUUUUCGUCUCGCUUGGUGGCUGCGGGUCUUAGGGAGGUAGUGUUUGGCUGCCCAGGACAUGACCUGUCAAUCCUGCCUAAGGAUAAGAAGAGAGCUCCAUUAGAAGACUGAAGAAGGCCUUCCAGGUUUGUACAAGUGAAUGAAGGUGCCCCUGGAGGCCAGAGGUGUUGGACAUCCCUGGAGCUGGAGUUACAGGUAGUUGUGAGACGUCUGAUAUGGGAGCUGGGACUCGAACUCUUGUCCUCCUUCAGAGCAGUGAGUGUUCUUAACCACUGAGUCAUCUCUCCAGCCCUGAACUCACUUUUAACACGCGGGAAUAAAGCAGAAGGGAUGGAAUGCGACUUACAAGACUGGGUUAUAUAAAGUGUGGGUUUCUCCUGGCUCUGGAUAAAGCAGCUGCCCUGUUGUGACAUCACCUCAGCAGUCAUGUGUUGAGGAACUGCGACUUCCUGUCCACACCCUUGUGAGUGUGUCACUUGGAGAAUCUUCUUGGCCUGGGCUAGCCUUUAGAUGCCUGUAGCCCUGGCAACAUCUUUACUGUGACCUCAAGAGAGGACUUGAGUGAAUUCUACUCAGCUAAUGUUUUCUCCCAACCUUGUGACUUCUAUAAACCAGGAAAUAGUGAAUUUUGUCAUGUUAAACCCAGUGAGUUUGGGGUAGUUUGUUACAUGGCAAUAGGUGACCAGUGCACCCCUGAACCCUCUUGACAUUUUGAGGGAAGAAUUUUGUCAUCUUUCAUUUCUGUUCGGGGUAGGACCGAAGCCCAUGGUCAUUCUCUCAGUGGCUAGAGUGCUUGCCCUGUGAGUGUGAGGAGCUGGGCUCAGAUCUCCGGCACUCAGGCAAAAGGCUGGGUGUGAGGUGCACGCCAGCAAUCCCAACGGCAUGGAGGCAGAAGCAGGCAGACCUCUGGGGCUUGCUAGCCUGCAAGUCUAGCCAAACCAGGUAGCUCCAAGUUCAGUGAGAGAUCUUUUCUCAAAAAAAAUAAGGUGCGGUUUUGAUCUUUUGCCAGUCUUACACACAUUGUCACACAGCUGUGAGUCCAUAUUUGGAAUUGCCCUGUUGUGUCUAGAAAGCACUAUUUUGUUAUGGUCAUUUACUGCCUCUGGCUCUUAAAAAUCUUUUUGCCUGUUUUUCCACAGUAACCAACAGAAUUUGGGAAGUUCAAAUUGAAUUUGAUGAUCUUAAGAAAAUAAAUGAGUUGAUUGGUGUUACUGCAA